CAGUACAUAGUUCCUUGUGCUACUGAACACAACAGUUAAUUGUAUACUGACCGUACAUUUUUAAUGGGAUGCAGACCUGUCGGCUGAAAACGCACAGUGGCACUAUAGAAAGCAGGGUUGGCACAUCAUCUUUGUCACUGUACAGUAGUUACCUGCUCUGGACUGCCAUAACUGAGGAGACUGUCUCAUUGUCAAGAGACGUAGGCAGCUGAAAAUCCAUGGAAAUCAGAUGAACUGGCAGAUGCAUUCUUUACAUUAAGACAGCCUAACAGCUGCGUACUGGUGGUCAGAUCGGUUGUCAACUCACAUCCCAAGUAAUUCUACAGGAAAUUAACAACAGCACCUGAAGAACACCACUGAAUAAGCUUGAAAGCUUGUCUCAACACCAACAGAAGUUGGUUCAAUAGCAGGUAUUACCUCACCCAUCUUGUCUCUCUAAUAUCAUGGAACAAACAGGAUUACAACCACACUGAAAACAGCAAAGUCUUUCAAGGCUAGUUACCAGGAGACUUCUGAAGUUCGAACGAUCAUUAGAUACGAAGGUUAAGUGUCUAAACCACCUCCUUCAGCCAUUCCUAAGGAUUUUAAUUGUCUGCUGCAGAUUACUGCUGAUUAGUUUGAAAUUAAAUUUCAGAAAGAAUCAAAUCACAUGCUGCUAUGAAUGGUUAGUUGCUUUAGGAAGCAAAUAGCUUUUACUUCAGUAAAAAUGGCUUACAAUAUUUGUUAGUUUGAGUGGUCUCACCUUUUAUCCUUGCAAACGUUGGGGCUUCAUUGGGUCUACGCUGUGCCCUAUGAUUCUGCCACUUAUUAUACUU